UUUGAAGUCUGAAAAAAUCGCAAAUGUGACAAGAUGUUAAAGAACUUUCACUUUGAUGGUCUCCAUUAUUGGCUCCAACCCCGCUUCUUUGUUGAUAAAGGAGUUGGUUCUGAGUGGCAAACUCACUGAGUAUUGUGUGGAUUUUUCCUCUCCUUUUACUUGUGCAUGCAAUCUGAGAAGCUGUUGACCUCUUUGUGAGAUCUCUGGUAGGAAAACCUCAUCAAGACCAAGGAUUGAGUGGUGCCAUCGCUUUGGCUUUCGAUUAUUUAGUUGGCUUCACCUUCUGCGUCAAUAAAUUGCGUCCAUGCAAGACCGACACCUUCAACAAGUACACCCUCCGCAUGUCCUAUGAAGCCUUACGUCGAUUGAUUGACAGCAUAAUGGACAAGGCAAUAAAUAAUGUUUGAAUAUUCAUUCGAUU